UACGUAGGGUGCGAGCGUUGUCCGGAAUUACUGGGCGUAAAGGGCUCGUAGGCGGCCAACUAAGUCGGAUGUGAAAUCCCCAGGCUUAACCUGGGAACUGCAUCCGAUACUGGAUGGCUUGAAUUCGGGAGAGGGAUGCAGAAUUCCUGGUGUAGCGGUGAAAUGCGUAGAUAUCUGGAGGAAUACCGGUGGCGAAGGCGGCAUCCUGGACCGACAUUGACGCUGAGGAGCGAAAGCUAGGGGAGCAAACGGG
rnacentral:rRNA from 1 species